GCCCAUGUGGUUUAAUGGAUAAGGCGUCUGCCUCCUAAGUAAAAGAUUGCGGGUUCGAGUCCCGUCAUGGGUG
rfam:Schistosoma margrebowiei strain Zambia genome assembly, scaffold: SMRZ_contig0000053